UCACCGGUUUUUCUAAAAGCCAUGAAUAUUGAAUACGUAAUUUUGG
rfam:Clostridiales bacterium GWB2_37_7 gwb2_scaffold_948, whole genome shotgun sequence.